rnacentral:rRNA from 1 species
GCAUAAUCAAUAGUUUUUUAAUUGGAAACUAGAAUGAAUGAUUGAAUGAAAUAUAAACUUUUUUAAUUUUAAGUUUUAAAAAUUAAUUUUUUAGUUAAAAAGCUAAAAUUUUAUUAUAAGACGAGAAGACCCUAUAGAUCUUAAUUUUGAAUGUAGUUAUUUAAAAAUAAAAAAAUUUAAAAUUUUAUUGGGGUGAUAUAAAAAUUGUAAUAACUUUUUUUUAUAAUUAAAUAAUAAUUUUUUAUUUUAAUUAUUUUUAUAAAAAUAAAAAAGAUACCUUAGGGAUAACAGCGUAAUUUUAAUUUUUAGACCAAAUGGAAAUUAAAGAUUGCGACCUCGAUGUUGGAUUAAAAUUUAAAAUUAGGUGUAACCGCUUAAUUUUUGAGUCUGUUCGACUUUAAAAUUUU